rfam:Oryza rufipogon genomic scaffold, chr12
CAUAAAUUUGUUUAUUUGUUUAUGCCCAACUUCGAUUGUCCGUCUUAUUUAAUUUUUUUUAUGAUUAGUAUUUUUUAUUGUUAUUAGAUGAUAAAACAUAAAUAAUACUUUAUGUGUGACUUAGGUUUUUAAUUUUUUUAAAUUUUUUUUAAAAAUAAGACGGACGAUCAAAGCUGCGCACGGAAAAUGAUAGAUGCACUUAAA